UACGUAGGGUGCAAGCGUUGUCCGGAAUUAUUGGGCGUAAAGAGCUCGUAGGCGGUUGGUUACGUCGAUCGUUUAAUCCCGAGGCUCAACCUCGGAGCUGCGGUUGAUACGGGCAUCACUUGAGUUCGGCAGGGGAGACUGGAAUUCCUGGUGCAGCGGUGAAAUGCGCAGAUAUCAGGAGGAACACCGGUGGCGAAGGCGGGUCUCUGGGCCGAUACUGACGCUGAGGAGCGAAAGCAUGGGUAGCGAACAGG
rnacentral:rRNA from 1 species